CCUAGAGUUUGUGGGCUUUGCCUGCUAUCUCUUACCCAUGUCUUUUGAGUACCUUCGUUUCCUCGGCGGGUCCGCCCGCCGAUUGGACAAUUUAAACCAUUUGCAGUUGCAAUCAGCGUCUGAAAAACAUAAUAGUUA
rnacentral:misc_RNA from 1 species